UACGUAGGUGGCAAGCGUUGUCCGGAAUUACUGGGCUUAAAGGGUGCGUAGGCGGCGGUGCAAGUUGGGUGUGAAAUCCCUCGGCUCAACCGAGGAACUGCGCUCAAAACUGCAUUGCUUGAGGGAGAUAGAGGUGAGUGGAACUUAGGGUGGAGCGGUGAAAUGCGUUGAUAUCCUAAGGAACACCAGUGGCGAAAGCGACUCACUGGGUCGCUUCUGACGCUGAGGCACGAAAGCUAGGGUAGCGAACGGG
rnacentral:rRNA from 1 species